UAGCAACAACAAGAUAACACAGCCC
rnacentral:piRNA from 1 species